AAAACUUUCAACAACGGAUCUCUUGGUUCUGGCAUCGAUGAAGAACGCAGCGAAAUGCGAUAAGUAAUGUGAAUUGCAGAAUUCAGUGAAUCAUCGAAUCUUUGAACGCACAUUGCGCCCCUUGGUAUUCCGGGGGGCAUGCCUGUUCGAGCGUCAUCA
rnacentral:rRNA from 2 species